rnacentral:lncRNA from 1 species
GAUAGUUUGGCUCUUAUAUGACUGUAUUACAAUGUUAAAUAGAAGUUCUUGUGGUGAACAGUCUUGUGACUCAAUAAUUUCGUUAAUUAUCACUGCCUACAGCAAUCACUCUGAUGAUGACUUGCCAUGAGUUUGUACAUUUUAAAAAAUACUUGUUGGAAAUAGCUGUAGUGUUUUUCAUAGUAAAACACACAGGGUGAACAGAAAAUUGUGUAGUACCCAUGACAUAACUGGGGGGUAAAAACAGCGGUUUGGGCCAAAUAAGAGGCUGCUCAGGACAGUGUAGCCUGCUGAGGUCUCCCUGGGGCUGGAGACCUUCCUUCCUUUGGUGGCAUAGCUGUAUCUCUCAGUUAGUUACUGAUCAAAAAGCACCUACAUUUUAGGAUAGGACAGGCUCCACACCCUUGUAUCACAGUCACAGUUCACCAGUGCUUUCUGCCAGCUCUGGAGGAGUGGGCUUGGGCACAGCUCUGAGCAGGCUGUGCCCACAGGUGCCUCAGGAGCCAGAGGGCUGUGACAUGGAGAGUGGGCAUUUGAAAUACUGGUGAAUGUAGCCUGAAUGCUCCGGGGUAUUCUGUAACAGUGGGGAGUUGGCUUUUGAAGUAUCACAUAGGUUACUGACGAUUUGGGGAAAUGAAAAGAUCUAGAUUUGCCUUCACAUAGCCAAGGAUAGGGAAAAGGGUUUAUCACCAGCAGUGGGAGGAAUGCAGAGGGGAGCACCCCAGUCCCCUGACCUUCUCCCAGCAGAGCCCAGGUCUCCCUUUGCUUCUGCCCCUGAGUUCCUACUGACUCACUGUGGCAGCUGAUUCCAGCCCAAAAUUCACCUAUUUGUGUGUCCGGAGCCUGGGAAAAAAAAUCCAUGCCAUUGUAUUUCACCAGUAAUUAAGUGCUAAUGGAUGUUUUAGAACUUGUUUUUAAUUUUCUUUCAACAGAAGACAAAAUGCCACAUUGUCUGAAGCUUUGUCUGCCCCACAGGCACUCUGCAAAAAUAUCUCCUUACAGCCACAAGGGCUUCAUCCUCAGUAUGUUUGACUGUGUUGGGAGUUCGAGCACAGGCACUGCACUGGUGUAAAUCCUCAUGGAGGACAUUGCAGCUAUGACAACUUACACCAGCACCUGAGCUCCCCUGGAAAUAACACAACAAAGCAGCUAUGUUAGUGACCAGUGGAGAAUUAUUAAAGGAACACAGAUAAUGGGAAGAAAAUAAACGACCUGGAUAGAAGAGCUACUAUAGAAUGAAGUGCAGGUAAAUCACUAUACUGGACACCUUCCAGCCUCAUGUCCUAGGUGCCUUUCUCCCUAAUUUUAACAUCUGCCUUAUGCUUCUGUUCUCUGCAAACCAGUCAGAAAGGGAAAAGAAUUGAAGUUUGGAUAUUCACAUUUGUUUCUAACUGGCAUCAUUGCCUGUGGAAAACUGUCCUUCUGGGAAAGAUGCUGGAGUGCUAGAAGUGAUGAUUCAAUUGCCCAUUAAGAUAAUUCCUGGAAGUACUACUUUCUUGAGGCUGUAUUUCCAGGAAUGGCAAUCACGGCGUCACUGCUCUGUCAGUGCGUUAGGUAUCUCCAGAAGCGGACACAGCAGGUGAAUAUUUCCAGUUACUACAAGUAAUACACCACAGGUUAGAUCUCGUGGUUAUCUUUAUUUGCAAAAGCUGACUAGUGCAGCAUAUUGCAAUCUUUUGAUGAUGAACUAUACCAAUUGUUUUGCAAUAAGCAGAAGCUUCUUUGCAAUCCAGGUAACAUUUUUUUAUGUUCCUAUUCCUGCUUUUUCGUGCUAUUAGAGAAGCAGUGAAUCUUUAAAGAGAAACUUCCUACAGCUAAAAAAGACAUUAAGGGGGAAAAAAGCUGGGAGCCAUAGUGACAGGUACAACUAAGGCUGUAUCCUUCGGUUCCCUGGAAACCAGUCAAACACUAUCUCAUCUUGCAAUGGUUGUGUCUGAUCCUCUGCUUCAGACAUCUUCCUAAUAAUGGCAACUACAGAGGUGACUCUCUGCAAAUAAGGGCUUACAGCAACUGGACAUCCAUCAUAUAUCUCCAGAGCAACAUUAGACCACCCUAAUGGGUACUCCCGUCUUCAUUAUGAUAUUAAUUCUCUAAAUUUCCAAAGUGAUUUCAUUUGUAAAAUGACAAAGGCUGGCUGCUCAGGAGACAAAGUGUUUUCAUCCCCCUCCUGCAUGCUUACAAAGGCUUGCUCUCUUUAGUCUUUGGG